rnacentral:misc_RNA from 1 species
UAACCCCUCCGGGCAGCGGUUUUGUCCUGCUGGCCGGGCCUUUGGCGUGGGGAGGUGACCGCGGCGCCACGGCGCUGGCCUGGUUUCCCCCUGCUUAAAUGCGGAAAAAGCUAGCCGGCAAAGCUCCGAUUGCAGCGACUCGUAGAACUUCUAAACGUCGCAAACGCCUUCGGAGCCACCCAGCCUUUAAAACAGAGGGAGGAUCGUUCCCAGAUGU